rnacentral:rRNA from 1 species
GAUGAACGCUGGCGGCGUGCCUAAUACAUGCAAGUCGAGCGAACAGACGAGGAGCUUGCUCCUUCGACGUUAGCGGCGGACGGGUGAGUAACACGUAGGUAACCUACCUAUAAGACUGGGAUAACUUCGGGAAACCGGAGCUAACACCGGAUAAUAUUUCGAACCGCAUGGUUCGAUAGUGAAAGAUGGCUUUGCUAUCACUUAUAGAUGGACCUGCGCCGUAUUAGCUAGUUGGUAAGGUAACGGCUUACCAAGGCAACGAUACGUAGCCGACCUGAGAGGGGGAUCGGCCACACUGGAACUGAGACACGGUCCAGACGCCUACGGGAGGCAGCAGUAGGGAAUCUUACGCAAUGGGCGAAAGCCUGACGGAGCAACGCCGCGUGAGUGAUGAAGGUCUUCGGAUCGUAAAACUCUGUUAUUAGGGAAGAACAAACGUGUAAGUAACUGUGCACGUCUUGACGGUACCUAAUCAGAAAGCCACGGCUAACUACGUG